GCCUGCUUAGCUCAGCUGGUUAGAGCGUUCGUCUCAUGUGCGAAAAGUCACUCGUUCAAGUCGAGUAGCUGGCA
rnacentral:tRNA from 1 species